UACGUAGGGGGCAAGCGUUGUCCGGAUUCAUUGGGCGUAAAGCGCGUGUAGGCGGCCAGGUAGGUCGGUUGUGAAAACUGGAGGCUCAACCUUCAGAGGUCGACCGAAACCAUCUGGCUAGAGUCCGGGAGAGGAGAGUGGAAUUCCCGGUGUAGUGGUGAAAUGCGUAGAUAUCGGGAGGAACACCAGUGGCGAAGGCGACUUCCUGGCCUGUUCUUGACGCUGAGGCGCGAAAGCUAGGGUAGCAAACGGG
rnacentral:rRNA from 1 species